GCGAACGGGUGAGUAACACGUAUGCAACUUACCCCUAACUGGGGGAAAGCCCCGAGAAAUCGGGGUUAAUACUCCAUAUCGUAGUAAAAAGGCAUCUUUUUACUACGAAAGCUCCGGCGGUUAGGGAUAGGCAUGCGGCCCAUUAGCUAGUUGGUGAGGUAACAGCUCACCAAGGCCACGAUGGGUAGCUGAUCUGAGAGGAUGAUCAGCCACAUUGGCACUGAGACACGGGCCAAACUCCUACGGGAGGCAGCAGUAGGGAAUCUUGGUCAAUGGGCGAAAGCCUGAACCAGCCAUGCCGCGUGCAGGAUGAAGGCCCUACGGGUCGUAAACUGCUUUUAAUCGGGAAGAAAAAGUCUGUUUCCACAGACCUUGACGGUACCGAUUGAAUAAGGGCCGGCUAACUCCGUGCCAGCAGCCGCGGUAAUACGGAGGGCCCAAGCGUUAUCCGGAUUCACUGGGUUUAAAGGGUGCGCAGGCGGUCAGGUAAGUCAGUGGUGAAAGCCUCCGGCUCAACCGGAGAAUUGCCAUUGAAAC
rnacentral:rRNA from 1 species